GCUGGCGGCAGGCCUAACACAUGCAAGUCGAGCGGUAGAGAGAAGCUUGCUUCUCUUGAGAGCGGCGGACGGGUGAGUAAAGCCUAGGAAUCUGCCUGGUAGUGGGGGAUAACGUUCGGAAACGGACGCUAAUACCGCAUACGUCCUACGGGAGAAAGCAGGGGACCUUCGGGCCUUGCGCUAUCAGAUGAGCCUAGGUCGGAUUAGCUAGUUGGUGAGGUAAUGGCUCACCAAGGCGACGAUCCGUAACUGGUCUGAGAGGAUGAUCAGUCACACUGGAACUGAGACACGGUCCAGACUCCUACGGGAGGCAGCAGUGGGGAAUAUUGGACAAUGGGCGAAAGCCUGAUCCAGCCAUGCCGCGUGUGUGAAGAAGGUCUUCGGAUUGUAAAGCACUUUAAGUUGGGAGGAAGGGCAUUAACCUAAUACGUUAGUGUUUUGACGUUACCGACAGAAUAAGCACCGGCUAACUCUGUGCCAGCAGCCGCGGUAAUACAGAGGGUGCAAGCGUUAAUCGGAAUUACUGGGCGUAAAGCGCGCGUAGGUGGUUUGUUAAGUUGGAUGUGAAAUCCCCGGGCUCAACCUGGGAACUGCAUUCGAAACUGACUGACUAGAGUAUGGUAGAGGGUGGUGGAAUUUCCUGUGUAGCGGUGAAAUGCAUAGAUAUAGGAAGGAACACCAGUGGCGAAGGCGACCACCUGGACUAAUACUGACACUGAGUGCGAAAGCGUGGGGAGCAAACAGGAUUAGAUACCCUGGUAGUCCACGCCGUAAACGAUGUCACUAGCCGUUGGG
rnacentral:rRNA from 1 species